rnacentral:rRNA from 1 species
AAACUUGAGUGCAGAAGAGGACAGUAGAACUCCAUGUGUAGCGGUGAAAUGCGUAGAUAUAUGGAAGAACACCAGUGGCGAAGGCGGCUGUCUGGUCUGUAACUGACGCUGAGGCUCGAAAGUAUGGGUAGCAAACAGGAUUAGAUACCCUGGUAGUCCAUACCGUAAACGAUGAAUGCUAAGUGUUGGAGGGUUUCCGCCCUUCAGUGCUGCAGCUAACGCAUUAAGCAUUCCGCCUGGGGAGUACGGCCGCAAGGCUGAAACUCAAAGGAAUUGACGGGGGCCCGCACAAGCGGUGGAGCAUGUGGUUUAAUUCGAAGCUACGCCAAGAACCUUACCAGGUCUUGACAUACUAUGCAAAUCUAAGAGAUUAGACGUUCCCUUCGGGGACAUGGAUACAGGUGGUGCAUGGUUGUCGUCAGCUCGUGUCGUGAGAUGUUGGGUUAAGUCCCGCCACGAGCGCCUCCCUUAUUAUCAGUUGCCAGCAUUAAGUUGGGCACUCUGGUGAAACUGCCGGUGACAAACCGGAGGAAGGUGGGGAUGACGUCCAAUCAUCAUGCCCCUUAUGACGUGGGCACUACACGUGCAUCUAUGGAUGGUAGCUCCAGUUGCUAACUCGCCACAGUCAGCUAAUCUCAUCAAGCCAUUCUCUUCUCCGAUGGUGGCUGCCA